rnacentral:rRNA from 1 species
AGCAGCCGCGGUAAUUCCAGCUCCAAUAGCGUAUAUUAAAGUUGUUGCAGUUAAAAAGCUCGUAGUUGAAUUUCGAGACCGGUUUAUUGGUCGUGCUUUUGUACGUACUGGUAUAAUCAGUUUCUCUCUUCUGACGAACCAUAAUGCCAUUAAUUUGGUGUUAUGGGAAAUCAGGACUGUUACUUUGAAAAAAUUAGAGUGUUUAAAGCAGGCUCACGCUUGAAUACAUUAGCAUGGAAUAACGAAAUAGGGCGUUUGAUUUUAUUUUGUUGGUUUCUAGGAUCGACGUAAUGAUUAAUAGGGAUAGUUGGGGGCAUUAGUAUUCAAUUGUCAGAGGUGAAAUUCUUGGAUUUAUUGAAGACUAACUACUGCGAAAGCAUUUGCCAAGGAUGUUUUCAUUAAUCAAGAACGAAAGUUAGGGGAUCGAAGACGAUCAGAUACCGUCGUAGUCUUAACCAUAAACUAUGCCGACUAGGGAUCGGAUGAUGUUAAUAUUAAUGACUCAAUUCGGCACCUUACG